GAUGAACGCUGGCGGCGUGCCUAACACAUGCAAGUCGAACGAAGCACUUUUUUACGAUCCCUUCGGGGUGACGAAUUUGUGACUGAGUGGCGGACGGGUGAGUAACGCGUGGGAAACCUGCCUUGUACCGGGGGAUAGCAGUUGGAAACGACUGAUAAUACCGCAUAAGCGCACAGUAUCACAUGAUACAGUGUGAAAAACUCCGGUGGUACAAGAUGGUCCCGCGUCUGAUUAGCUAGUUGGUGGGGUAACGGCUUACCAAGGCGACGAUCAGUAGCCGACCUGAGAGGGUGACCGGCCACAUUGGGACUGAGACACGGCCCAAACUCCUACGGGAGGCAGCAGUGGGGGAAUAUUGCACAAUGGGCGAAGACCUGAUGCAGCGACGCCGCGUGAGCGAAGAAGCUCGUGUAGUA
rnacentral:rRNA from 1 species